rnacentral:rRNA from 1 species
UGGGUCCUACGGGGGGCAGCAGUGGGGUAUAUUGCACAAUGGGCGCAAGCCUGAUGCAGCGACGCCGCGUGAGCGAAGAAGGAUUUCGGUAUGUAAAGCUCUAUCAGCAGGGAAGAAAAUGACGGUACCUGACUAAGAAGCCCCGGCUAAAUACGUGCCAGCAGCCGCGGUAAUACGGAUGGAGCAAGCGUUAUCCGGAAUUACUGGGUGUAAAGGGAGCGUAGGCGGCAAGGCGAGUCUGAUGUGAAAACCCAGGGCCCAACCCUGGGAC